rnacentral:misc_RNA from 1 species
UUCAAAGCAAAUGCACAAAUGCCGCUGAAAUACAAAAUAAUCAUAGAUACGAACAAUGUGGUGCUUAUCUUCAGGAUCAUACUUCUUGUUUAGCGUUGUCAAAAUAGAUACUUCAACCAGUUGCUGAUAGUAAGCUGGUUGAUUUUUAAUUAUCUUCACGGCAACAAAACAGUUGGUUUCUGCAAACCAGCAUUUAGCAACCUGCCCAAAGGUGCCAUGGCCAAGAACAUCUUUGACAAUGUA